GACAGAGGGUGCAAACGUUGUUCGGAAUUACUGGGCGUAAAGCGCGUGUAGGCGGCAGCGCAAGUCGGAUGUGAAAUCCCAUGGCUCAACCAUGGAAGUGCACCCGAAACUGCGUCGCUAGAGUCCUGGAGAGGAAGGUGGAAUGCUUGGUGUAGGGUGAAAUUCGUAGAUAUCAAGCGGAACACCGGUGGCGAAGGCGGCCUUCUGGACAGUGACUGACGCUGAGACGCGAAAGCGUGGGGAGCAAACAGG
rnacentral:rRNA from 1 species